rnacentral:lncRNA from 1 species
AUUUUGGGGCAAAAGAGGGCGCUUUUGGGCCAGAUGUGCUGUGUUUUAGGGGGAAACGCGGCUGUUUUGGGGGAAACUCUUGGCUUUUUAGGGAACCAUGUUGGGUUUUGGGGGAGCCAUGUUGGAUUAUGGGAAAUGUGCUGGCGUUUUGGGGGAACUCUUGGUGUUUUGAGGAAACUCUUGAUGUUUUGGGGGAGCUCUUGGUAUUUUGGGGGAGCCAUGUUGGGUUUUGGGGGAACCAUGUUGGAUUAUGGGAAAUGUGUUGGUGUUUUGGGGGAACUCUUGGUGUUUUGGGGGAACCGUGUUGGGUUUGGGUGGAGCCAUGUUGGAUUAUGGAAAAUGUGUUGGUGUUUUGGGGAACUCUUGGUAUUUUGGGGGAACCAUGUUGGUUUUGGGGGAACCAUGUUGGGUUUUGUGGGGGCUCUUUGUGUUUUGGGGGAACCAUGUUGGCGUUUUGGGGGAACUCUUGGCAUUUUGGGGGAACCAUGUUGGGUUUUGGGGGAGCUCUUGGUGUUUUGGGGGAACCACGUUGGGUUUUCGGGGGUCUUGUGCUGUUUUGAUGGAGCCAUGUUGGGUUUUGGGGGGGGUCUUGGUGUUUUGGGGGAGCCAUAUUAGGCUUUGGGGGAGCCAUGUUGGAUUAUGGGAAAUGUGUUGGCAUUUUGGGGGAACUCCUGGUAUUUUGGGGGAGCCAUGUUGGGUUUUGGGGGAACUCUUGGUAUUUUGGGGGA